rnacentral:rRNA from 1 species
UGGGGAAUCUUGCGCAAUGGGCGAAAGCCUGACGCAGCCAUGCCGCGUGAGUGAUGAAGGUCUUAGGAUUGUAAAGCUCUUUCGCCCGCGACGAUGAUGACGGUAACGGGAGAAGAAGUCCCGGCUAACUUCGUGCCAGCAGCCGCGGUAAUACGAAGGGGGCUAGCGUUGUUCGGAAUUACUGGGCGUAAAGCGCGCGUAGGCGGCUUUGCAAGCCAGGGGUGAAAUGCCUGAGCUCAACUUGGGAAUUGCCUUUGGGACUGUGAGGCUUUGAGGACUGGAGAGGUGAGUGGAAUUCCCAGUGUAGAGGUGAAAUUCGUAGAUAUUGGGAAGAACACCGGUGGCGAAGGCGGCUCACUGGCCAGUUUCUGACGCUGUAGCGCGAAAGCGUGGGGAUCAA